CGGGAUCGGCAGACGGGUGAGUAACGCGUGGGAAUCUACCCUUUUCUACGGAAUAACGCAGGGAAACUUGUGCUAAUACCGUAUGAGCCCUUCGGGGGAAAGAUUUAUCGGGAAAGGAUGAGCCCGCGUUGGAUUAGCUAGUUGGUUGGGUAAAGGCCUACCAAGGCGACGAUCCAUAGCUGGUCUGAGAGGAUGAUCAGCCACAUUGGGACUGAGACACGGCCCAAACUCCUACGGGAGGCAGCAGUGGGGAAUAUUGGACAAUGGGCGCAAGCCUGAUCCAGCCAUGCCGCGUGAGUGAUGAAGGCCCUAGGGUUGUAAAGCUCUUUCACCGGUGAAGAUAAUGGCGGUAACCGGAGAAGAAGCCCCGGCUAACUUCGUGCCAGCAGCCGCGGUAAUACGAAGGGGGCUAGCGUUGUUCGGAAUUACUGGGCGUAAAGCGCACGUAGGCGGAUUGUUAAGUGAGGGGUGAAAUCCCAGGGCUCAACCCUGGAACUGCCUUUCAUACUGGCAAUCUAGAGUCCAGAAGAGGUGAGUGGAAUUCCGAGUGUAGAGGUGAAAUUCGUAGAUAUUCGGAGGAACACCAGUGGCGAAGGCGGCUCACUGGUCUGGAACUGACGCUGGGGUGCGAAAGCGUGGGGAGCAAACAGGAUUAGAUACCCUGGUAGUCCACGCCGUAACGAUGAAUGUUAGCCGUCGGGCAGUUUACUGUUCGGUGGCGCAGCUAACGCAUUAAACAUUCCGCCUGGGG
rnacentral:rRNA from 1 species